GGGGCCGUAGCUCAGUGGUAGAGCACUUGCCUUCCACGUGCAAGGCACUGGAUUCGAGUCUCAGCACCA
rnacentral:tRNA from 1 species